rnacentral:rRNA from 1 species
CGGGUGCACUGAUCCGGCCGGGCCUUUCCCUCUGUGGAACCCCACGGCCUUCACUGGCUGUGCGGGGGAAACAGGACUUUUACUGUGAAAAAAUUAGAGUGCUCCAGGCAGGCCUAUGCUCGAAUACAUUAGCAUGGAAUAAUAGAAUAGGACGCGUGGUUCUAUUUUGUUGGUUUCUAGGACCGCCGUAAUGAUUAAUAGGGACAGUCGGGGGCAUCAGUAUUCAAUUGUCAGAGGUGAAAUUCUUGGAUCUAUUGAAGACUAACUACUGCGAAAGCAUUUGCCAAGGAUGUUUUCAUUGAUAAGGAACGAAAGUUAGGGGAUCGAAGACGAUCAGAUACCGUCGUAGUCUUAACUAUAAACUAUGCCGACUAGGGAUCGGACGAUGUUAUUUCUUGACGCGUUCGGCACCUUUCGAGAAAUCAAAGUGCUUGGGCUCCAGGGGGAGUAUGGUCGCAAGGCUGAAACUUAAAGAAAUUGACGGAAGGGCACCACCAGGGGUGGAACCUGCGGCUUAAUUUGACUCAACACGGGGAAACUCACCAGGUCCAGACACAGUGAGGAUUGACAGAUUGAGAGCUCUUUCUUGAUUCUGUGGGUGGUGGUGCAUGGCCGUUCUUAGUUGGUGGAGUGAUUUGUCUGCUUAAUUGCGAUAACGAACGAGACCUUAACCUGCUAAAUAGCCCGUACUGCUCUGGCAGUUCGCCGGCUUCUUAGAGGGACUGUCGG